UCAGGCUGAUUUCAGUGUUGUCCUGCGUCGUCUGUUGUGUGUUCAUGCAGUGUACAGACAGAACGGAGGCCAAUAAACUCUACUGAUCAACAAAUGGACGGUUUCCUGACAUGUCCGAAAUGUUUCUCUGCUCUCAUGAGCGAAUCGCACUGUUGAAUCAAGACUACGAACCGAUUGAGUUGAACUCGGAUAUGUGGGUUGGCUGUGUUGGAUGUCAAUCAUUCGGGACAUGGACUGAUGUACGAUGACGCAGUUAAGAAGAGCCCCAGUUAAUGCGCUGUAAGAUAGGACGUCUUAGAUGAUGAAGGUUUACUUUAUUAUGUAGUUCUAGGGGAAGAGUUUAAUGGGAUAAUUAGUUGACUUUUGUUUUAUUUUUGGUUGUGUUUGGCACUGUCCCUUUGUCCUCCUUAUGCCUGUUAAACUUGGUUUAUUGUUUUCUUUUUUUGUGAGAAAUCAUUGUCCUAUAUAACGACUUUAAUGUGAAACUUUAUUUUUCCAUAAACAUUUAAAAACACACAGCUUGUUUAUAAUAAACCAGUUCACUUAAA